GAUGAACGCUGGCGGCGUGCCUAAUACAUGCAAGUCGAGCGAACGGACGAGAAGCUUGCUUUUCUGAUGUUAGCGGCGGACGGGUGAGUAACACGUGGAUAACCUACCUAUAAGACUGGGAUAACUUCGGGAAACCGGAGCUAAUACCGGAUAAUAUUUUGAACCGCAUGGUUCAAAAGUGAAAGACGGUCUUGCUGUCACUUAUAGAUGGAUCCGCGCUGCAUUAGCUAGUUGGUAAGGUAACGGCUUACCAAGGCAACGAUGCAUAGCCGACCUGAGAGGGUGAUCGGCCACACUGGAACUGAGACACGGUCCAGACUCCUACGGGAGGCAGCAGUAGGGAAUCUUCCGCAAUGGGCGAAAGCCUGACGGAGCAACGCCGCGUGAGUGAUGAAGGUCUUCGGAUCGUAAAACUCUGUUAUUAGGGAAGAACAUAUGUGUAAGUAACUGUGCACAUCUUGACGGUACCUAAUCAGAAAGCCACGGCUAACUACGUGCCAGCAGCCGCGGUAAUACGUAGGUGGCAAGCGUUAUCCGGAAUUAUUGGGCGUAAAGCGCGCGUAGGCGGUUUUUUAAGUCUGAUGUGAAAGCCCACGGCUCAGCCGUGGAGGGUCAUUGGAAACUGGAAAACUUGAGUGCAGAAGAGGAAAGUGGAAUUCCAUGUGUAGCGGUGAAAUGCGCAGAGAUGUGGAGGAACACCAGUGGCGAAGGCGACUUUCUGGUCUGUAACUGACGCUGAUGUGCGAAAGCGUGGGGAUCAAACAGGAUUAGAUACCCUGGUAGUCCACGCCGUAAACGAUGAGUGCUAAGUGUUAGGGGGUUUCCGCCCCUUAGUGCUGCAGCUAACGCAUUAAGCACUCCGCCUGGGGAGUACGACCGCAAGGUUGAAACUCAAAGGAAUUGACGGGGGCCCGCACAAGCGGUGGAGCAUGUGGUUUAAUUCGAAGCAACGCGAAGAACCUUACCAAAUCUUGACAUCCUUUGACAACUCUAGAGAUAGAGCCUUCCCCUUCGGGGGACAAAGUGACAGGUGGUGCAUGGUUGUCGUCAGCUCGUGUCGUGAGAUGUUGGGUUAAGUCCCGCAACGAGCGCAACCCUUAAGCUUAGUUGCCAUCAUUAAGUUGGGCACUCUAAGUUGACUGCCGGUGACAAACCGGAGGAAGGUGGGAAUGACGUCAAAUCAUCAUGCCCCUUAUGAUUUGGGCUACACACGUGCUACAAUGGACAAUACAAAGGGCAGCGAAACCGCGAGGUCAAGCAAAUCCCAUAAAGUUGUUCUCAGUUCGGAUUGUAGUCUGCAACUCGACUACAUGAAGCUGGAAUCGCUAGUAAUCGUAGAUCAGCAUGCUACGGUGAAUACGUUCCCGGGUCU
rnacentral:rRNA from 1 species